GCCGGUGUUAAUGGCGAUGAGGAACCACCUGUUCCCAUACCGAACACAGAAGUUAAGCUCAUCCGCGCCGACAAUACUUGGCGGGCGACUGCCUGGGAAGAUAGGUCGAUGCCGGCA
rnacentral:rRNA from 1 species